UACGUAGGGGGCUAGCGUUGUCCGGAAUCAUUGGGCGUAAAGAGCGUGUAGGCGGUCCGGUAAGUCCGUUGUGAAAGUCAGGGGCUCAACCCUUGAAUGCCGGCGGAUACUGUCGGGCUAGAGUCCGGAAGAGGCGAGUGGAAUUCCUGGUGUAGCGGUGAAAUGCGCAGAUAUCAGGAAGAACACCAAUGGCGAAGGCAGCUCUCUGGGACGGUACUGACGCUGAGACGCGAAAGCGUGGGGAGCGAACAGG
rnacentral:rRNA from 1 species